ACUGCUCAGUAACACGUAGUCAACAUGCCCAGGGGACGUGGAUAACCUCGGGAAACUGAGGAUAAACCGCGAUAGGCCAAGAUUUCUGGAAUGAAUCAUGGUUCAAAUCUAUAUGGCCCCUGGAUUGGACUGCGGCCGAUCAGGCUGUUGGUGAGGUAAUGGCCCACCAAACCUGUAACCGGUACGGGCUCUGAGAGGAGGAGCCCGGAGAUGGGCACUUAGACAAGGGCCCAGGCCCUAUGGGGCGCAGCAGGCGCGAAACCUCUGCAAUAAGCGAAAGCUUGACAGGGUUACUCUGAGUGAUUUCCGCUAAGGAAGUCUUUUGGCACCUCUAAAAAUGGUGCAGAAUAAGGGGUGGGCAAGUCUGGUGUCAGCCGCCGCGAUAAUACCAGCACCCCGAGUGGUCGGGACGAUUAUUGGGCCUAAAGCAUCCGUAGCCGGUCCUGCAAGUCCUCCGUUAAAUCCACCCGCUCAACGGUUGGGCCGCGGGGGAUACUACAGGGCUAGGAGGCGGGAGAGGCAAGCGGUACUCGAUGGGUAGGGGUAAAAUCCACUGAUCCAUUGAAGACCACCAGUGGCGAAGGCGGCUUGCCAGAACGCGCUCGACGGUGAGGGAUGAAAGCUGGGGGAGCAAACCGGAUUAGAUACCCGGGUAGUCCCAGCUGUAAACGAUGCAGACUCGGUGAUGGGCUGGCUUCGUGCCAACCCGGUGCCGCAGGGAAGCCGUUAAGUCUGCCGCCUGGGGGAGUACGGUCGCAAGACUGAAACUUAAAGGAAUUGGCGGGGGAGCA
rnacentral:rRNA from 1 species